AGGUAUCGUAAGUGUGAGCACUACAUGGACAAUCCCUACACUAGGGCUGUGACCAGCCAAUCUGGUGCCUUUCCCAGCAAGCUGCAAAACUGAAAGCCAUCCCUUCUGCAGAGAAAAGUGGCCAUGGCCCUCAACCUGGAUGAAUUCCUGCCAGUGAGAAUUAGCCCCUUUCCAGCUUUCACAGAAGCCUCUCCCAGGACCAUAUGGACAAGAAACAAAUCCAGCUAUGAAGAGGCAAGAAUUACUGAAUAUUCUGGGUAUAAACUUCCAGGUAACAUGAAGUUGCUGGGCUAAUGCAGGUAUAACAGAUGAAGACUGCAGCACAGCAGAUGCAGAGAAAUAAUAACUAUGACUAGAUUAGGAGCCAUCACUUUUGUUCAGAAAAAGCCACAACCACCCUUGUUUAUAAAUAUCACUGUACAGAAAAUAAUGCGAAGAUAAUACGUCAGAGAAAACACUAAUGCAGUACAGAAAUUGUAUCUCUGAACAUGUCACCAAUGUAAAACUUGAGCUCAGGCUAAUGUCUUAAUUUUAAAAUGCAGACAUCUUAAUAUACUCUGUAAAUACUGCAGAGACCUGAAGAAUAGACGGCACUCAGAAACUUGUCUAAGUCUAUCCCAACCACAGUUGGCUGAUAGAAAGAUAUCACCUAUAAAAAUCCUUGUCUCUUCAAACAACUUGCGUUUGGUUGGUCUUCCUUAAGCCAGAAUAAGUACUUAUGCAACUCUAUUUUAGUGCAGUCAAUCUCCCAAAUGUUUUGUUGGUUCCUUCAAUUUUGAAUCCCACGUCCUUGGUCCAAUCUGUUGUGUCCUCCUGCCCCGCAGUCGUAGUGAGUGCCUGUACAUGAACAGCAGGGCUGCUCUGACAUGCUGGAAUUCCAGCGCGUUGGAGCCAACUCGAUUAAUUGAGCCUGCUUGAGUGUGGCAGUUGCCCCGUUCCAGCAGCCUCCUGCGUCAACGUCCCCAUGCUUAAAAA